rnacentral:lncRNA from 1 species
UUAUCCCGCAGCGUCAGAGUUGGGAUGUGCGCCUCCAGGAAGCUCUAGUCUGCUGGAAAUCUGAAGAAGGCAAAUCCAAUGGAGAGAGGUUGCUCGGGGAGCGGGCAAAAUGUGGAAAUACCUUGUAAAGGCAUCCCUGCCCGAGCCUAGAAAUUCCCUGCACGGGCACCGAGACGUGCUCCGCGUCUGCGGGACUAAGCCCACCAGACUGCUGGAAAGAGCAGCACACGGAGAGCCAAGUGGUUUGCCGGCAGUUGCUUGGUGUCCCAAGAGGUGACUUAACCCAUGGAGCUGGAACACUUUUACAGGUAUGUUAAUUCUUUCAACUUGGGCCUUUUGUGCAACCGGGGAGCAUUUUGAUUCUUGUAAAACUAUUCCAAUGUCUUAGCUCUGAUACAGUAAAUAUUUAUUUUAUGUGAUAGCCACAGAGGUCAAUUUGACCUGGCUAUCUAAUGGGGGACACCUUAAAUGCUUUUCUCCUCUUAACUAGGAAACCUGCUGUGUUAGAGUUAUCUGGUACUGCUCUGUCUGGGGUAGUGGUAGGAGGGCCUUCUCACUACCUGCAACAGUCGGGCUCCCUUUGCUCAUGCUGUAGGAGUCGGAGCCCCCUAGCUUGCUAAAUGCAGGUUCAGUUUCUGUACUCUGGCUUGCUUGCGGGCCAGCUAUAAUGACAUGAUAGGCCUCAUCCGGGUCCUUGAGAACAAUGAAAGUAAGCUCCCCUGGAAUUUAUGACCUUUUGCUCCCCCCCAGCUCCCCCGAAAUUUAUGGCCCGAUGCUUCCCGCCAGUUCCUCCCCGUGCCAUCUCCUUUGUGUGGCCUUCCGCCACAUAACAUAUAUAGCCUUUACGUUUAAAUGAACCAAUGAAGAAUUGCUUCUCAGCCUUUUGGCUAAGAUCAAGUGUAAAUGAACCCGUGAACAUGUUAGGUCCCAAUACCUUGCCAUAUAGAGAGUAAGAAGGUAACCUACGUAGGAGAUGACCUGCACCCUUGCAAGUGUGAGGCUAUGAUUGGGAAAUUCAGACACAACAAUGCAAUUACAAGGUGAGUACGCGGCCUCCAUUCUGGUUCAAGGCUGAGCUGAUGUGUUUUGGUGUCUCCUACGUUGUGUUUCAUUCGGCUGGAGUAACCUCUAUGCCUGGGCUCUGGACUGCUACCUAGUUUGUGGGGAGAGGGUGUCUGGCUUGGGUGGCUGAACUUCCUAGUUUGUGCCUGCUGUGCUGAUGCUGUGGUAACAGCACCCCCUCUCAAGCAUGUGCCAGUUUGAAUAACAAAUUUUAAGGCUUCCACUGUUGAGUCUCAGGGGGCAAAGAAUCAAGAUUCUAACCCGUUUCCGGUUAAGGAUCAAUAGUUCUGUGGCCUGCGGUGCUCUGGUCGAGAAUCGAAUAUGACACAGGGGAGGCUGGGGUUUCCCUCGGAGGGAAUAGGGAGACUAGGCCCAGGCCCUGGCCCAGUGCCCAUGUUGGGAGGAACUGGCUUGGGUCAUAAGGCGGCCUUGGGGCUGCAAACAUCCAGGGGCCGCCCCAGCCCUUGUGUCUCUGUGUAACUGUGUGCACCUGCAGUGUCUUUCCACUCACCCAUUCAGGAAUGUACCUGACCUAGGCUGGACUCUGGCCUAGCUGCUGCAUAUAGUAGUGGAAAAGAUCUGACCUACCUCGUGGAAGUUUAUUGUCUAGUGGGAAGAGAAAGACAACCAAAACAAAACAAAACACAAAGUAGAAUUCUGUGUCAUAUGGCACUAAGUGUGAGUGAGGAAAAUCAGUCUGGAUAAAGAGAAUGGGCACUUAUUUUAUAUAUGGUGGUUGUUAAACCAGAACUUGUGAGCACCAGGGAUCUGUAAUAAAAGGGUUUAUUGAGCCA